rnacentral:rRNA from 1 species
UGUUGAGGAAGAUAAUGACGGUACUCAACAAGGAAGUGACGGCUAACUACGUGCCAGCAGCCGCGGUAAAACGUAGGUCACAAGCGUUGUCCGGAAUUACUGGGUGUAAAGGGAGCGCAGGCGGGCGAUCAAGUUGGAAGUGAAAUCCAUGGGCUCAACCCAUGAACUGCUUUCAAAACUGGUCGUCUUGAGUAGUGCAGAGGUAGGCGGAAUUCCCGGUGUAGCGGUGGAAUGCGUAGAUAUCGGGAGGAACACCAGUGGCGAAGGCGGCCUACUGGGCACCAACUGACGCUGAGGCUCGAAAGUGUGGGUAGCAAACAGGAUUAGAUACCCUGGUAGUCCACACCGUAAACGAUGAUUACUAGGUGUUGGRAGAUUGACCCUCUCAGUGCCGCAGUUAACACAAUAAGUAAUCCACCUGGGGAGUACGACCGCAAGGUUGAAACUCAAAGGAAUUGACGGGGGCCCGCACAAGCAGUGGAGUAUGUGGUUUAAUUCGACGCAACGCGAAGAACCUUACCAAGUCUUGACAUCCCUUGACGAUGCUGGAAACAGUAUUUCUCUUCGGAGCAAGGAGACAGKUGGUGCAUGGUUGUCGUCAGCUCGUGUCGUGAGAUGUUGGGUUAAGUCCCGCAACGAGCGCAACCCUUAUGGUCAGUUACUACGCAAGAGGACUCUGGCCRGACU